CUUAGGCAAAAAGGAGUUUCCUGCAAGCUGCUGGGGCACCAUGCACGCCUGAAGGAAAGCCGUGCUGCCAGGCCUUGGGAAGGAGACUCAGCCCAGCAUCGGCAGCCCCUCUCCCCGGCCCACUGGAGGACCCAGUCUCUGGGGAGAGAAACUGUCAGGUGGGUGCUGAGCCACACCCUGUUCCUGGGCACUGGGGAAUGGGGAGAGGUUGUGGAAUUGCUAGCCCCGUUAGGGCCAGAAAGGCCAGGAGGACAGGGCAGCUGGGGAGGGUGUGAAGUGACAUCCACUUCCUCCUGUGAGCUUGUGGCCCAUUUCGUUUUCUCCCCGCACAGGCGUAGGGGCCUAGAGGUGCCCCCCGACUCCUCUCCUGCCUCUUCCUGUGAAGAAGGCCUCCUGCUGGCUGCACGUUUCCUUGAGGUUUGCUGGGGCCGCUGUGCGAUUCCCCACUGUGUCUGUCCCCAGCAUCCUGCACAGGAGCUCCGCGAAUGCAGGUGGCAGCAACUCUUCACACGUGAGCACAGCCCUUAGCAGAGGCAGAGACUCCUGCAUUUGGCAUUUCACGAGGCAGAUUAAGUGGAUAUUAUUUACCUUCACCAAUUUUUUGGAGAAGAGAAAACCACGGCCCGGCAAGAGCAAAUCACCUUCCCGGUGUCCCACGGAGGCAGCUGAAAGGCGGGCGGGAGCCAUGAGACCACAGACGCCUGGGCUGCCCCCACCCAGGGUAAACCUUCCCUUGGCCCUGGACCACUUCAAACCAGAGGCCAAAGCCACUCUCAAGGAGGGGUUUCUCACCCCUUUCCUGUCUGCAGCAUUCCUGGGCUGCGGCUCCUCCACCCAGCCUCAGCCCUUUUGAAGUUGGCCCUUGAAACCUGACCAGGUGUGACCCGCCUCCACUGCCAUCUCCCUUCCAGGGUCCUGGGGCUGCUCCUGCAGCUCAGGGGGCGGAUUCCUGGGCCAGGAGGGGACCCUGGAGGACCAGCAUCCAUAGGAGCUGACAGCAAGUGCUCUGUGAUGUUGCUGGCUAUGCUCGAGUCUGUCUGGGUAGUCUCCGCUCAGGGACCCCACGGGCAGCCCCAGGUCUGCUCUCUCGUUUAUGGGGCACCCCCAUCCCCUGGCCAUUCCCUUCUCAUGUGACACCAUUGCCAACUUCAAACCUGGCUCCUGGCUUGGCCCACCCCAUUCCGUGUCCUGGGGAGGGGAGCCC
rnacentral:lncRNA from 1 species